rnacentral:rRNA from 1 species
UACGAAGGGGGCUAGCGUUGCUCGGAAUCACUGGGCGUAAAGGGUGCGUAGGCGGGUCUUUAAGUCAGGGGUGAAAUCCUGGAGCUCAACUCCAGAACUGCCUUUGAUACUGUGAAGCUUGAGUCCGGGAGAGGUGAGUGGAACUGCGAGUGUAGAGGUGAAAUUCGUAGAUAUUCGCAAGAACACCAGUGGCGAAGGCGGCUCACUGGCCCGGUACUGACGCUGAGGUGCGAAAGCGUGGGGAGCAAACAGG